CCCACUGAGCCACCUAGCACAGCACCACCCAGCAGUGUUUUUGGCCACCCACAACACAGCACAGCACAGCACAGCACCGACUACCAAGCCACCCAACCACUGAUUCAAGUGAGACAUGGAGCCUGAGCCUCUGAGUCAGGUAUGUAAUUAAGUAAUUUGACGAAUUUUUGUUCAAUAAUCAUUGUUCAGUGAUUCAUUGUUGCUGGCUGUUGUUAACUUGUUAUUGUUUUAUUUGUUUCUCAUUGUUUAGGGAAAUUUAUUGUUUUAUUUGUUUUAUUGUUUUACUUGUUAUUGAUUCACUGAUUAUUUGAUUUCAUUGUUGCUAGUUGUUGUUUACUUGCUGGUUCAGUGUUCAUUGUUUUAUUUGUUGUUCAUUGUUUAGGGAAAUUGCUUCUGAUUGUUAGUUCACUGAUCAUUGUUUAAUUUAUUUGUUGUUCUGUUUUUAAUCUAUUUGUUGUUAUGUUUUUGCUCUUGAAUUAUUAGACCAAAGAAAUUGGAUUGAUAGAUAAAAAUGAUAGUAAAAAAUGAUAGUUUGUCCUGUUUGUUAUAACCCUUGUAGCUUUGGUUAUGAUGUAUUAGGAAAAAAUCUGCAUGCACGCUUCCCCUUCCCCUGUAUUGGAAGAUAUCACUGGAUCACAACAUGCACAAAAAUGAUAUCACUGUAUUGUUGCUACGUGCUGUUUACUGAUUUGAAGGUUUUUUUAUGACAGUUCCAUUGAUGGAGUUAUCAAGGAGAGCUUUACGGAAUAGUUUGUCUUGUUUGUUACACUUGUAGCUUUGGUUAUAAUGAACUAGGAAAGAAUAUGCAUGAAUAUGAAUAUCUUGAUAAGAA